rnacentral:rRNA from 1 species
GGCGGGACACGUGGUAUCCUGUCUGAAUAUGGGGGGACCAUCCUCCAAGGCUAAAUACUCCUGACUGACCGAUAGUGAACCAGUACCGUGAGGGAAAGGCGAAAAGAACCCCGGCGAGGGGAGUGAAAAAGAACCUGAAACCGUGUACGUACAAGCAGUGGGAGCACGCUUAGGCGUGUGACUGCGUACCUUUUGUAUAAUGGGUCAGCGACUUAUAUUCUGUAGCAAGGUUAACCGAAUAGGGGAGCCGAAGGGAAACCGAGUCUUAACUGGGCGUUAAGUUGCAGGGUAUAGACCCGAAACCCGGUGAUCUAGCCAUGGGCAGGUUGAAGGUUGGGUAACACUAACUGGAGGACCGAACCGACUAAUGUUGAAAAAUUAGCGGAUGACUUGUGGCUGGGGGUGAAAGGCCAAUCAAACCGGGAGAUAGCUGGUUCUCCCCGAAAGCUAUUUAGGUAGCGCCUCGUGAAUUCAUCUCCGGGGGUAGAGCACUGUUUCGGCAAGGGGGUCAUCCCGACUUACCAACCCGAUGCAAACUGCGAAUACCGGAGAAUGUUAUCACGGGAGACACACGGCGGGUGCUAACGUCCGUCGUGAAGAGGGAAACAACCCAGACCGCCAGCUAAGGUCCCAAAGUCAUGGUUAAGUGGGAAACGAUGUGGGAAGGCCCAGACAGCCAGGAUGUUGGCUUAGAAGCAGCCAUCAUUUAAAGAAAGCGUAAUAGCUCACUGGUCGAGUCGGCCUGCGCGGAAGAUGUAACGGGGCUAAACCAUGCACCGAAGCUGCGGCAGCGACGCUUAUACGUUGUUGGGUAGGGGAGCGUUCUGUAAGCCUGCGAAGGUGUGCUGUGAGGCAUGCUGGAGGUAUCAGAAGUGCGAAUGCUGACAUAAGUAACGAUAAAGCGGGUGAAAAGCCCGCUCGCCGGAAGACCAAGGGUUCCUGUCCAACGUUAAUCGGGGCAGGGUGAGUCGACCCCUAAGGCGAGGCCGAAAGGCGUAGUCGAUGGGAAACAGGUUAAUAUUCCUGUACUUGGUGUUACUGCGAAGGGGGGACGGAGAAGGCUAUGUUGGCCGGGCGACGGUUGUCCCGGUUUAAGCGUGUAGGCUGGUUUUCCAGGCAAAUCCGGAAAAUCAAGGCUGAGGCGUGAUGACGAGGCACUACGGUGCUGAAGCAACAAAUGCCCUGCUUCCAGGAAAAGCCUCUAAGCAUCAGGUAACAUCAAAUCGUACCCCAAACCGACACAGGUGGUCAGGUAGAGAAUACCAAGGCGCUUGAGAGAACUCGGGUGAAGGAACUAGGCAAAAUGGUGCCGUAACUUCGGGAGAAGGCACGCUGAUAUGUAGGUGAAGUCCCUCGCGGAUGGAGCUGAAAUCAGUCGAAGAUACCAGCUGGCUGCAACUGUUUAUUAAAAACACAGCACUGUGCAAACACGAAAGUGGACGUAUACGGUGUGACGCCUGCCCGGUGCCGGAAGGUUAAUUGAUGGGGUCAGCGCAAGCGAAGCUCUUGAUCGAAGCCCCGGUAAACGGCGGCCGUAACUAUAACGGUCCUAAGGUAGCGAAAUUCCUUGUCGGGUAAGUUCCGACCUGCACGAAUGGCGUAAUGAUGGCCAGGCUGUCUCCACCCGAGACUCAGUGAAAUUGAACUCGCUGUGAAGAUGCAGUGUACCCGCGGCAAGACGGAAAGACCCCGUGAACCUUUACUAUAGCUUGACACUGAACAUUGAGCCUUGAUGUGUAGGAUAGGUGGGAGGCUUUGAAGUGUGGACGCCAGUCUGCAUGGAGCCGACCUUGAAAUACCACCCUUUAAUGUUUGAUGUUCUAACGUUGACCCGUAAUCCGGGUUGCGGACAGUGUCUGGUGGGUAGUUUGACUGGGGCGGUCUCCUCCUAAAGAGUAACGGAGGAGCACGAAGGUUGGCUAAUCCUGGUCGGACAUCAGGAGGUUAGUGCAAUGGCAUAAGCCAGCUUGACUGCGAGCGUGACGGCGCGAGCAGGUGCGAAAGCAGGUCAUAGUGAUCCGGUGGUUCUGAAUGGAAGGGCCAUCGCUCAACGGAUAAAAGGUACUCCGGGGAUAACAGGCUGAUACCGCCCAAGAGUUCAUAUCGACGGCGGUGUUUGGCACCUCGAUGUCGGCUCAUCACAUCCUGGGGCUGAAGUAGGUCCCAAGGGUAUGGCUGUUCGCCAUUUAAAGUGGUACGCGAGCUGGGUUUAGAACGUCGUGAGACAGUUCGGUCCCUAUCUGCCGUGGGCGCUGGAGAACUGAGGGGGGCUGCUCCUAGUACGAGAGGACCGGAGUGGACGCAUCACUGGUGUUCGGGUUGUCAUGCCAAUGGCACUGCCCGGUAGCUAAAUGCGGAAGAGAUAAGUGCUGAAAGCAUCUAAGCACGAAACUUGCCCCGAGAUGAGUUCUCCCUGACUCCUUGAGAGUCCUGAAGGAACGUUGAAGACGACGACGUUGAUAGGCCGGGUGUGUAAGCGCAGCGAUGCGUUGAGCUAACCGGUACUAAUGAACCGUGAGG